rnacentral:rRNA from 1 species
GAUGAACGCUGGCGGCGUGCCUAAUACAUGCCAGUCGAGCGAACAGAUGAGGAGCUUGCUCCUCUGACGUUAGCGGCGGACGGGUGAGUAACACGUGGAUAACCUACCUAUAAGACUGGGAUAACUUCGGGAAACCGGAGCUAAUACCGGAUAAUAUAUUGAACCGCAUGGUUCAAUAGUGAAAGACGGUUUUGCUGUCACUUAUAGAUGGAUCCGCGCCGCAUUAGCUAGUUGGUAAGGUAACGGCUUACCAAGGCAACGAUGCGUAGCCGACCUGAGAGGGUGAUCGGCCACACUGGAACUGAGACACGGUCCAGACUCCUACGGGAGGCAGCAGUAGGGAAUCUUCCGCAAUGGGCGAAAGCCUGACGGAGCAACGCCGCGUGAGUGAUGAAGGUCUUCGGAUCGUAAAACUCUGUUAUUAGGGAAGAACAAAUGUGUAAGUAACUAUGCACGUCUGGACGGUACCUAAUCAGAAAGCCACGGCUAACUAAGU